UAGGGAAUCUUCGGCAAUGGACGGAAGUCUGACCGAGCAACGCCGCGUGAGUGAAGAAGGUUUUCGGAUCGUAAAGCUCUGUUGUUAGAGAAGAACGUUGGUAGGAGUGGAAAAUCUACCAAUUGACGGUAACUAACCAGAAAGGGACGGCUAACUACGUGCCAGCAGCCGCGGUAAUACGUAGGUCCCGAGCGUUGUCCGGAUUUAUUGGGCGUAAAGCGAGCGCAGGCGGUUCUUUAAGUCUGAAGUUAAAGGCAGUGGCUUAACCAUUGUAAGCGUUGGAAACUGGAGGACUUGAGGGCAGAAGGGGAGAGUGGAAUUCCAUGUGUAGCGGUGAAAUGCGUAGAUAUAUGGAGGAACACCGGUGGCGAAAGCGGCUCUCUGGUCUGUAACUGACGCUGAGGCUCGAAAGCGUGGGGAGCAAACAGG
rnacentral:rRNA from 1 species